rnacentral:rRNA from 1 species
GACGAACGCUGGCGGCGUGCUUAACACAUGCAAGUCGAACGGACCGAGUUGAUAGCUUGCUAUUGAUGAGGUUAGUGGCAAACGGGUGAGUAACGCGUAGGCAACCUGCCCUUCAGAUGGGGACAACACCUCGAAAGGGGUGCUAAUACCGAAUGACGUUUCCUAGUCGCAUGACCUGGAAACCAAAGGCCGGGCAACCGGUCACUGAAGGAUGGGCCUGCGUCUGAUUAGCUAGUUGGUGGGGUAACGGCCCACCAAGGCGACGAUCAGUAGCCGGUCUGAGAGGAUGAACGGCCACAUUGGGACUGAGACACGGCCCAAACUCCUACGGGAGGCAGCAGUGGGAAUCUUCCGCAAUGGCGCAAGCCCUGACGGAGCAACGCCGCGUGAGUGAAGAAGGUUUUCGGAUCGUAAAGCUCUGUUGAGAGGGACGAGAGAUAUAAUCAGGAAAUGGGUUAUAGAGGACGGUACCUUUCGAGGAAGCCACGGCUAACUACGUGCCAGCAG